rnacentral:lncRNA from 1 species
CUAAUUGAACCCCUGCAACUCCUCCCCAAAAAUCCCACACAAACCCUAGGGUAUUCCGGGUGUUACGACGCGAUUCUAGUGCUGAAAAGUCCGGACAACUUGCUAGUUUCUCUUUCUCCUUCUUAUAGCCAUGUUGAGGAAUUUAUUUUUGAUGAAAAAGGACCAGGUUUCAUGGGUUAUACUCAGUACAAGGUAAUUUUUUGUUUCUCCUUCCAUUAUCUAUGCGUUUGCGAGUUGUAACUCGAUCGUAAAGAAUAGACCUAGCUAGUUUCGAAAGAAUGGUAUGUUGUUUGUUGUUGUGUAAUUUUUGACUGGUUAUGAACUUACUUCUAAGUUGAAUUCAUGGCUGGUUUAUUGGAUAAGAGGUAUAAUGAUGUGAUUUUGGUUGUAUUUCUCAAUUUGAAAGAAAAGACAAGUCGAAACGGGUUUAAGUAAACUGAAAAAUUAUUUUUGAGUUGAUGAACUUUUGGGACUGUUUUUGGGCUAUUUCGUGUUGGUAUUGGGUUGUCUCUUUUACUACUAUUUUUAUGGAGUCGAAAGGAGGAAGAGUGUGGAUAAACACCACAUAAUGUCAAGGUUGUUUGUUGGUCGUUCGUCGUAACAUUAUCGGAUUGUUUGACACUAUUAUGGUUGUCGUGUUGUGUAUGAAGUGAUAAGGGUAUGCUGGGCUGUUUGUGAUUGUUUUGACUAGUGUGAAGUCGCAUAUAUAGGGGACGUGCUGUCCGUUUCAUUGUAAAAUAGGUUGUGGUAGAUACAUAAUAGUUACGACGCUUAAACGAUAACGAGAGUGUCGUUUCUCUUAUUGUAGACUAAGGAGCCGUGAAAUUGCAUAGCUUGAGGUUGGGAAG